GCUCUUGGAGUUUCUCUGGACUUCUAGAGCUUCUCUGGUCAAGAGCUGCUUUUAGAGCUGGACUCAGUCUGUCGAAAUGAGAUUCUUUUUUCAUUGCGAUUUCAAUUUUUUUUUAAAUUUUUUUUAAUAUGUAUGUGACUAAAACACAACAAGACAGUCUAAUUUUUUUUUUAGAAUGAGGAAUUAUUGCACUGGGCACUGAAUAUUUUAUGAGUGACAACGCAUAUAUGGUAGGCCUCAGAAACCUACCGAAACUGAUUUACUGUUAAUUUUUUUUUCAUAAUUUCCAAAUUUUUCAGUUUUAUGUACUAACUCGAAUAGACAGAUUUCAAAUUCAAAAGCAUUCAAACGUGCGUGUAAACACAACCCCCCCAAAAUAAAUUUUUGAUUUUUUCUACAUUUUUUUCUUUAUGCCUUUUUUUACCAUUUCUUUCUUUGAACAGCUUGUCUGGAUGAGCGGUAAUACACGAUGAGGUUGAAAAAAAAAGACAAGCAUAUGUCUAAAUCUUUAAUGCAGAUAAACUUUUUCAUGUCUGAUAUUACCGUAACUCUUGCAGUUGCUCUAAGAACUGAAAUUCAGAGGAUUUUCUGUUUUUUAAAGUAACUGGUUUUAAAACCUUGAGAUGAAGUACAUGAUGAUUUCACCACAUUCACGACGGUCUACUGCGUAUUGGGACUUGUAAUUCCUUUACCUUGAUGAAACUUAAGGCCUUGACCGGCCGUGGUACCUGACACUUUAUCUCAAGGUUUUAAUUCGUGAGUUUUUUCCUAUUAAGAGAGAGUGAGAAUACGACAAUAAUAUAUUCAAUUCAAGAAACCAAAAUGAAAAUAAUAUAGAAGAUAGAUUAAAUACAAGGUGU